GCAUAAAGUCCCGUAAGCAACGGCUCUGGAACAGACAGAGGCAAGCAAGGAAUGAGUGCUCACCGACUAUUAGUGCCAUCCAUCACGAUUAGACACAGAUGGAAGGGAACCAGCGAGGUGAAACUGUUUAUACGCAGUGGCAUGGAAACAUGCCCAGGCACUGCGGGAUGAAAUCCCAAAGCAGCACGGAAGCUGGAUCCACUCACGAGAAUCAAACUCUUUCAGGCUCCACCAGACACCGCCUCGAGCUCCUUACGCACUGUCAUUCCCGGCUGCUCCUCAGCACCAUUCCUGAGUCCAGAAUCCCCUGCUGGGAAAACGAUUCCACCCACAAUGAAAAUCCCUCCUGUUGCUGAAGACACCACAUGCUUAAAUCAUAGAACAUGAAAAAAUCAAUCUGGUACUAUCCUGGAAGCAUCAUUCCAUGUAGGUGCUACUCAUGCUACAUGGGAAAAAAGUAAUCAUCAGGAUUACCCAGCUGUGAACCCUGCAAGCUAUAAUAACAACUGAACUAGCAAGAUAUACCAACGGUUACAACAGUGGCAUGAACGUUAUGGAAGUAACCAAACACUUUCUGAUUGAAUUUAAGGAGCAUGCCACAAGACAGAAUUCAAGCCUGCACCACUAAUAGAUCCAAACUGAGGACAGGCAGUGGAGGAGGAGAUAUCUUUUAUUCUGCUAAAUAAACAUAGUGUUAAACUGACUCCCCAAAACAUAUCAUUAUAACCACAGUUAAGUGCAUCUCUCAGACCUCAUCAAAGAAGUUUCUGCUAGCAGUAGCUGACACGGAGAAUAAGAGAUUGUGGAGCGAUCAGCCCUAAAUGGUACAUUUACGUGACACUCUGCCCCCUGAGUAAGGCUCAGGGAUCAUCAUAGAAGAUGAGGGAAAAGAAUUGGAAGAGCCAGAGGCGGUGGAUGACUAACAAAAACAACGCUUUCUGGACACAUCUUGGAAGUUGUGCUGAUGCAAAGGAUGCGAUCGCAUGCACCAGGCCUGAAUGAGAUCAAGCCAGACAAAAGGUUGUCAUGGAUGGGGAAGAAAGUCUCACUCCUAGCUGAGGCACUGUUGGCAAUGGGUAGCUAUUAAGACAGGGAGAGCAAGUUUUCUCCAGGGAAGAAGCCUGUAAGAGCUACUCAUGCUCCAGUAACGCCCUACACUCCAGCACAUACUGGCAAGACUAAGUGGACUCCCUGGGUUAAAAAGAUAAAAAACAGAGCAUAUGAAACUGGGAGAGAAUAGAGGUGGUAGAGAAAAAGAAGACCUGGAGGAGAGGGAAGGAGAGAUGGGCUUGACCAAAAUGCAUUAUUACGCAUGUAUGGAACACUCGUUCAAUAAAAAAGAAAAGCAUUCUUUCCACACCGAUUAAUGUCUUCAAGAUAGUCCCUCGCAAGGGUGUCCAGGGGACCCUCUCCCAAGGUGAUUGCAGAUGUUAUAGAGUUGAGAGUUAACAGUAACCAUCACAACCACCAUGCAGAAGUAAAUAAGCAUUCUGGAUUAUUACCUUAAUCAAUCUUGAAGCAACAAAACGCUUCUCUCUAUGGAAUGCCGUGACCCCCUCCCCACCUCUGUGUUAUCAGUGCAGUCUCAGUGUAGACUUUCCUCCCCCGGGUAGCCUUUAUGAAAGCACCUGUGGCUCUUAGUUCUGGCAGACCUAUUUUUGUUACUUUGCCUUCCUGCUGGGAGCCGAGCAACUUGCUCCAGGACCACGUGAUCUUUUUCUGACCAACAUCUGUCCAGUAACUUCCUUAUAAAUCUCAAGAAUCCCCAGUCUCCAGAGUUUUGGUUAAUACUAUUUAUAAACACAUAUGUGUGCAUAUACUUUUAAUUGGAAACAUUUCUUUAACCUGGAAACCAUUUGAUGAAAUAUGAACUAAUAUGUAAAUACACACACAGUACAAUGGGUGCAUAUUUGUACAGUUUCUCAUCAGUUAAAAAUGGGAGGACACUGUAAGAAAUGUAUUAGAUCAUUUCAUUUUGUAAGAACCCACACAAACUAUGGGUAUGGCUAAGAUAUCACUUGGCAAUAAGAAGAGUUAGUUCAAGCUAAUCCUAUGAAAGGAAUUACCAUCAUACAUUCAGUUUACUGUUGGCUGAAACAUUAUUGGCAGUGCAUCAUUAUGUUGUGGAUAUAAACAUGGUUUUGUUUUGGUCCCAGGUGUGGGAUGUAGGACUGGUUCAGAUGGUCCACAGCAGCAGACUAUUUGCCUCAUGCCGGCUCUGAGAGGAGCUCUUUGCUAGCUGCAGAUUGUUUAAUUCUGAGGGCUCUGGAGAGAGAAUAAAUGCCAGAGCCCAGAGAGUGAGGAACUCAGAGAAAGAACAAGGCUGCUUCUGCUCCCCCUUGCUGUUCCUGGUUGCUGUUGUGAGACAAGAAGUUCAAAGGAGGAUUGGAUUGGCUCCAAGGAACCAGACAACCCUAACCAGCAGGAAGCAGCUAAGAGAACUGCGUCCCCUCUCCCACUAAGCCUUUCUCUCUCCUACCUGGUGUUGGGGUGUUGAAGAGGUCAGGUGGAGCAGGGAGAAAAAGAUAUAGAAAUGUAAAUAAAAGUUUUUUUAAGUACGCCUACAUCAUUAUCUAUAUAUAGACACAUUUAUAUAAUAUUUAUUGA